GUUAAGUGUCAUAAGAAAUACAAGCCAUUGUGACAUACAUAAGGAAGGCUAUGUGGAGCUGGUUGACCAUGUGGGUCCAGCCUCUCGAGAGGAAUACAGACAGAGCACCAGGCUUCAAAUCAUUGAAAAAAAGUUUUAGAGAUAAAAAGAGUUCACUAUAGACACCAUAGAAAAUUGCUGUUUUACCCAAUGACUCUGGAAACCCUUGAGAAAAUAUGGCGGAGAGUUUAUUGCCAAAUGGACUUGCCAUCUUGGGAAGUGCUUCACAAACUUCACUCACUAUAUCUGGCCAGUUCUCCUCAAUGCUAGGAAUAGGAAAGAGAGAAGAGGUCACUUCCACCAAAGAAACCCUGUGGCUCAUGAAAGGUGAGUUCAAUUUGUUUACCUCAGUGUUAUCCCAUUUUUUUUAGAGAAAAAGAAUAUU
rnacentral:lncRNA from 1 species